rnacentral:lncRNA from 1 species
CCCGCCUCCCGCCCCGAAUCCGUGACGGGUUGAAAAUAGCUAUCCCAUAAUCCGCCCCGCCUUAUAGCCCGCCUCCUGCCGGCACCCCGAAUCCGCCCCGCCAAGUAAUAUUUGUUUUACAAAUUAUAAUAUUAUUAAUAUUUUGAUAGAGAGAAUCGCCGAUGGAACGGUGGGCGAUGGUGGAGGCGACGACGCUCUGGCAGAUCCCUGCGCCCACGAGCGACGCGACCUUAGUGGCGGCGGCCGGCGGAGGCGAGGAAAAGGGCGGCGGUGGCCGGCGGAGGCAAGGGAAAGGGGGGCGGCGGCGGCGGCUGCUGCAGCCGGUCGUGUUGGGGAAGAAAGAGGAGUUGGGACUUAGGUGGUCCUGGUGGUGGUGGAGGGGUUGUGAGCUGUGUAUUAGGGUUUGCAAAAUAAGAACUAUUUAUAUAGUUGGGUGUUUUGUAAAUAUAUUAUUUUUUAGGGAUAUUUUAAAGAAAUAGAUAAAUAGUUUUCGGGGCGGAUUCGGGGCGGAUAAAAAAUUUUCUCGUUUCCUGCCCCAAAUCCGCCUCGGAUCAUAAAAAUUACUCCGUUUCCUGCCCCGAAUCCGUUUAUUUCCUACCGUUUACUGUCCCAUUCGGGACGGAUCGCGGCGGGAGCUCUACCAACCCGAAUCCAUUUGCAUCCCUAGGUAUGGCACGGCACACACCAUGUAUGUUUCAACAUUCAUGUGUAUUUGUAUUUAUCCAUCAACGCUUGAUCUUUCAUCAUAUGCUUUAACCCUCCUAUCCAUUACAUUACACUCAUUUAUUCCGAAUUGUACAAAUCGAUUAGGCUAAGGCCCCGUUUGGAUACCUCUAAAAACGUAGCAUAGUAACUAUGCUACGGCGGUAGGAAAAUAAUUCUAUGACAUAAUUUUUGAAGUAUAGUUAUACUAUACUCUAAAAAAUAGAGUAAACUUACAAUCCACUUUAACCACAGGAAAAAAAAUUCCACUAUUUUGGGCUCCUAAAGAUGUAUCAAUUUCUAAAUUUUAAAUUUCAACAUAAAAUUUUAAAAUUUGAAAUUUAAAAUUUUAAAAUUCAAUUUUAAUUUUGAUUUUAAAUUUUCAAAUUUCAAAUUUCAAAUUUCAAAUUUUAAAAAGUNCGGUGGCCGGCGGAGGCAAGGGAAAGGGGGGCGGCGGCGGCGGCGGCUGCAGCCGGUCGUGUUGGGGGAGAAAGAGGAGUUGGGACUUAGGUGGUCCUGGUGGUGGUGGAGGGGUUGUGAGCUGUGUAUUAGGGUUUGCAAAAUAAGAACUAUUUAUAUAGUUGGGUGUUUUGUAAAUAUAUUAUUUUUUAGGGAUAUUUUAAAGAAAUAGAUAAAUAGUUUUCGGGGCGGAUUCGGAGCGGAUAAAAAAUUUUCUCGUUUUUUGCCCCGAAUCCGCCUCGGAUCAUAAAAAUUACUCCGUUUCCUGCCCCGAAUCCGUUUAUUUCCUCCCAUUUACUGCCCCAUUCGGGACGGAUCGUGGCGGGAGCUCUACCAACCCGAAUCCAUUU